GAUUAUGGCUCAGAUUGAACGCUGGCGGCAGGCUUAACACAUGCAAGUCGAGCGGGAUAGGGUGCUUGCACCUGAUUCCUAGCGGCGGACGGGUGAGUAAUGCUUAGGAAUCUGCCCAUUAGUGGGGGACAACGUUCCGAAAGGGACGCUAAUACCGCAUACGUCCUACGGGAGAAAGCAGGGGAUCUUCGGACCUUGCGCUAAUAGAUGAGCCUAAGUCGGAUUAGCUAGUUGGUGGGGUAAAGGCCUACCAAGGCGACGAUCUGUAGCGGGUCUGAGAGGAUGAUCCGCCACACUGGGACUGAGACACGGCCCAGACUCCUACGGGAGGCAGCAGUGGGGAAUAUUGGACAAUGGGGGCAACCCUGAUCCAGCCAUGCCGCGUGUGUAGAAGAAGGCCUUUUGGUUGUAAAGCACUUUAAGCGAGGAGGAGGCUUACCUGGUUAAUACCCGGGAUAAGUGGACGUUACUCACAGAAUAAGCACCGGCUAACUCUGUGCCAGCAGCUGC
rnacentral:rRNA from 1 species